GGAUUCAGAGUCAUCCAUCAAUAAUUGUGCGUAAGGGUGUUUCCGUGCUAUUACGAAAACAGUUUCGCUGCGUGCAUCGCGCGUAUCCAAACGUGCAAACGAGGUAAGGCGCUGCCAACCCAAGAAAACGAAACGCAACCAAUGAGCGCGCGAAGAGCGACCGAACAAUGAACAUUUGCCGUGAGUUUCCGGCCAAAUAUCGAACAUCGAGUGAAUGAAUUGACUGUCGGCGUUCAUCAUUUUUUUCGCGUCGCCAUUUUUUUUUUACACGUUUCUGUUUAUUUUGUUAAUUUUGUUAGUUGUAUAUUAUUUAUAACAGUGUACUUAACGUUAAGGUGUUGCUUACAUUUGUUGCAUCUGGGUUUUGGCUUGCAUCUUAGGAUAUAGCACCAUGGCUCUUAGUGACGAGCUGGCUCAAUUAAAGCUCCGUAGGGGCUAUGUAAAGGGUGCAAUAACUCGUGAAGAAAGUUUUUGUAACAGCGAAGAAAUUGUGAUCGCGUCUAGUGAGUUGCUCACAGAGCGGCGCAGUCGCUUGGCGAAAAACUUUGCCUCUUACGAGGACCUUAACAAGAGUAUUUUGUGCAUAAAUCCAAAGGACGAUGAAGACCCUUUUGUGUAUGAAAGAAUUCAUAGAGUUUUUGGAGUCCAGAGCGUUGGCCAGGGAGAAUGCAAUGGAAACAAUGCCUGUGAGUACUCCCAGUGGUGUGAAGCCUGGCAAGCCUGCAUGUAAUACAGCAGCAGCAGUCUCAUGUGCUUCAGAGGGAAUCACUGCCUCUAACGCCGCAAGGUCCCUACCUGGUUAGUACCAGCCUAGGUUAUAUUGUAGCAGGCAGUCUACCGGUAUCUGUUGGGAACAUCCAUUCUUCAAAUUUGUGUAUAACAGUUCAAGGUACCCCCCAUAAUAUUUCUCAUAAUUCUCAUAAUGAUCAACUUGAUACUAUUGAACAUACUAUUUCAAAUUUUUGGAAAUGUGAAAAAGUACCUGAAAUUUAUAAGGAAGGUAUUACUGAACAUCAACUAGCUGAGGAAUGUUUUCAAAACUCUGUCAAACUUGUUGAUGGAAAGUUUUGUGUAGAUUUACCUUUAAAACUUAAUUUAAAUGAUAUCCAGAUGGGUAACUCUUUUAAUCAGGCAUUGCAUCGUUUUCAUAAUUUAGAAAGGCGUUUCGCUAAAGAUGAUAAGUUAUUUCAACAAUAUAAGAAGUUCAUUCAUGUUUAUCUUGAGCAAGGCCAUGCCAUGUACUUUGAUAUAUCUAACUAUGAUCCUAGGGCAGGUAAUGUGUAUUUCUUACCUCACCACCCAGUCAUUAAUUUAAAUAGUAAAACUACUCCGGUUCGAGCUGUCUUUGACGCGAGCAUGAAAACCAAUAAUGGUAUUUGUCUAAAUGACAUGAUGCUUAAUGGGCCUGUUGUGCAAAAUGAUUUAUUUGACAUUUUGACACUAUUUAGGAGUUUUAAAUAUGUUUUGCUUAAUGAUAUAAAGGCUAUGUAUAGGGGUAUAAUAAUGGGUAAAGACCAUUUCUGCUUGCAAAAUAUUCUUUGGCGAGAUUCUGCUGAUCAAAGUGUGCAAUGUCUUCAGUUACAAACUGUAACAUAUGGUUUAAAGUUUGAUAAAACAAAUACUUUUGUGAAAACUUUAGGCUUGUCAUAUGAUGUGACUUCUGAUACUUUAAAUAUGAAGUGUCCAAGCGCUGAAAUACAAAAACCUUCUACUAAGAGGCAAGUGUUAAGUUUUAUUAGCAAAUUUUUUGAUCCUUUGGGUUUGGUAGGUCCUAUUUUGGUGCAAGCUAAAUACUUAAUGCAACAAGUCUGGUUUGAAAAGUUAAAGUGGGAUGAUAUUCUCCCUGAAGCUUUAAAUAAAAAAAUUCUACAAUUUGUUGAAGGUUUGAUGAAUAUGUCUUGUAUAUCUGUUCCUAGAAAUAUCAAUGUAUAUCCACAUAAAAGGCUAGAGUUAGUUGGUUAUGCUGAUGCAUCUAAUAUUGCACAAGUGUGUAUUAUGUUUCGGAUUUAAGGCUAAAGCUUCCAGUCAACUUAUGGGUUCAUUACCGCUUGACAGAGUCAAUAUUACACGUCCUUUUCAAAUUGUAGGCACUGAUUAUGCAGGUCCUUUCAAUGUUAAACAAACUAGAGUAAGAAAUCCUGUUAUAACCAAGGCUUAUGUUGUUAUUUUCAUAUGUUUUAUUACUAAAGCAAUUCACAUAGAAUUGGCGUCAGACAUGACAACUAAUACUUUCUUAGCUUGUUUAAAAAGGUUUAUAAGCCGUAGAAAUAAGCCUACAAAAAUAUAUUGUGAUAAUGCUAGUUAUUAUAGAGGUGCUGAUAAUGCACUCAAAGAUUUGCAUAAGCUACUGAAUUCCACAGAUCAUCAAAACAAAGUGUUUGAUUAUGGUUGUUCAGAGGGAAUACAGUUUCAAUUUAUUCCUUCAUAUUCCCCUGUAUUUGGUGGCCUGUGGGAGGCAGGAGUAAAAAGUAUAAAAUAUCAUAUGAAACGUGUAAUUACUCAGAGUGUACUUACUUAUGAAGAGCUGUAUACAGUGUUAGUGCUCAUAGAAAGUAUUUUAAAUUCUAGACCAUUAACUCCCAUGUCAAGAGAUUGUGAUGACAUGUCUUACCUGACACCUGCACAUUUCCUUACUGGCUCACCAUUGACUUCAUAUCCAGAGCUUAAUUUGACUGAUGUAAAUGUAGGAAGGCUUAGUUUUUGGAAACAAUGUUCUCAAAUGCAACAGCAUUUUUGGAAUCAAUGGCAUAAACAAUAUUUAGUUAUGUUGCAGAGUCGACCUAAAUGGAAAACUCAACUGCCUAAUUUAGAAAUAGGCAAUAUGGUAUUGUUUAAGUCUGAUAAUGUAUCUCCAUUGAACUGGCCUGUAGGUAGAAUUGUAAAGGUCAUUCCAGGAAAAGAUGAUUUAGUUCGUGCAGUGGAGGUAAAAACUAGUAAAGGUCACAUUGUAAGAACAAGUGUUAUGAAAGUGUGUCCAUUACCUAUUGAUUAUAAUUAAUGUAUCUACCCUUUAUUUUUAAAGCGAGAAUUACUCUUGGGUUUAGUUUAUCUUUAAUUUCUUUACUAAUCCAUUUGGGUAGUUAUUUUGAAUGUUUUAAUUUAAUUGUCAUACUGGUAAUGAUGAGGUUAGCUUGUGGCUGAGGCCCCAGCAUGUUCAUGACAUAUAAAACCUCAUUGGAGGAUGUAUUUUAUUUUUUCUUAAUUGUCAAGAACAAAAGAAUGACGGUUACUCUGUACAAAUUUUUUCUCCUGUGAGCACGUUUAUAUAAUUUCUUCUACAAUAAAAGUUAUUUAUACCUAUUUACCACUUGGAAAGCCUUUUUCUUUUAUGUUCCCAUUGGCCACACCAGCGAGAUAUUGAAGAACUAAUUAUUUAAUUUUGUGGGGAACAAAAAGUACUAGGACAGCAGAAAUGAAGAGGAGCUAGGUGGUGUUUAAAAUCCGACAUUAAUGUUCAUCUACAACACUACUAAUUAAAAGACAUUGUUCAUAAUAAUAUACAUUGAAUAGGAAUGUAAGUAUACAAUAACGCAAAAAUUACUUUGAAGAGACUG